AACGAACGCUGGCGGCAUGCUUAACACAUGCAAGUCGAACGGACUUGUAGGGCUUGCUCUACAAGUUAGUGGCAGACGGGUGAGUAACGCGUGGGUAUGUACGUUUUGGUUCGGAAUAACUUCGGGAAACUAAAGCUAAUACCGGAUAAGCCCGGGAGGGGAAAGAUUUAUCGCCGAAAGAGCAGCCCGCGUUAGAUUAGGUAGUUGGUAGGGUAAUGGCCUACCAAGCCUACGAUCUAUAGCUGGUCUGAGAGGAUGAUCAGCCACACUGGGACUGAGACACGGUCCAGACUCCUACGGGAGGCAGCAGUAGGGAAUUUUCCACAAUGGGCGAAAGCCUGAUGGAGCAAUACCGCGUGCAGGAUGAAGGCCUUCGGGUCGUAAACUGCUUUUAUGUGCGAAGAAUUUGACGGUAACACAUGAAUAAGGAUCGGCUAACUACGUGCCAGCCGCCGCCGUAA
rnacentral:rRNA from 1 species